GCAUAUCAAUAAGCGGAGGAAAAGAAACCAACAGGGAUUGCCCCAGUAGCGGCGAGUGAAGCGGCAAGAGCUCAGAUUUGAAAUCGUGCUAAUUUUUUUGGCACGAGUUGUAGAGUGUAGGCGGGAGUCUUUGUGGAGCACGGUGUCCAAGUCCCUUGGAACAGGGCGCCUGAGAGGGUGAGAGCCCCGUGGGGUGCCGUGCGAAGCUUUGAGGCCCUGCUGACGAGUCGAGUUGUUUGGGAAUGCAGCUCCAAGUGGGUGGUAAAUUCCAUCUAAGGCUAAAUACUGGCGAGAGACCGAUAGCGAACAAGUACUGUGAAGGAAAGAUGAAAAGCACUUUGAAAAGAGAGUGAAACAGCACGUGAAAUUGUUGAAAGGGAAGGGUAUUGGGCCCGACAUGGGGAGUGCGCACCGCUGUCUCUUGUAGGCGGCGCUCUGGGCGCUCUCUGGGCCAGCAUCGGUUCUUGCUGCGGGAGAAUGGGUGCCGGAAAGUGGCUCUUUGGAG
rnacentral:rRNA from 1 species